GGAAAAAUGAGCAAUGAAAUCUUCCCUUCUCCAUUUACCAUCCCUGCUCCUUUCUGCCUCCUGGAAAGUGGCCCUGGACAAGGCUGGAGUGGUCACCACCUAAUCCAAGGCAUCUCCAACAGGAAAAGGAAGUCGUUAAGAUUUUGGGAGAGAAAAGGUCAAGCUUUGGUUGGACAAUUCCGGAGCAGCUCCAGGGCUUCUCCAGGGAGGCUCCAGGCUCUGGGCUGGAGCAGGAAGGGCAUCCCCAGCCCCGGGGCUGCAGGAAUUCCCCUCUCUCUGCGGGAUCAGCCCCAUCAGGGUGGAUGUGUUCCCAUUAUCCCUCCAGGAGCGGAUCUGAAUGGGAGCCAGGCUGAGUUUCCUGCUGGGAUGGAGGAAUGAGGCUGGACAGGAGCAUCCAGGAGCCAGGAGAGCAGGGAGACACCAACCUCCUCUUCCAGGCACCGCCGUGUGGGAAACCAGCGGAUUCCCAUCCAAACCCGAGGCUAACCCAGCCCUUCCUGCUCCAGCAGCACCUGGAGCAAACAGCCCCAAC